GACGAACGCUGGCGGCGUGCUUAACACAUGCAAGUCGAACGGUAACAGGCCCUUCGGGGUGCUGACGAGUGGCGGACGGGUGAGUAAUGCUUAGGAAUCUGCCUAGUAGUGGGGGAUAACCCGGGGAACUCGGGCUAAUACCGCAUACGCCCUACGGGGGAAAGGCGGGGACGUUUCGGCCGUCGCGCUAUUAGAUGAGCCUAAGUCCGAUUAGCUAGUUGGUAGGGUAA
rnacentral:rRNA from 1 species